rnacentral:tRNA from 4 species
GGGGAGAUAGUUUAAUUGGUAAAACAUUGGUCUCCAAAACCAAAGUAUGAGGUUCAAAUCCUUGUCACCCCGCCA